rnacentral:misc_RNA from 1 species
UCCGAGUUGACCCCGGCAGUCUCCUAUGAGUCCCCACCAUCAUGUGCUGGCAACAUAGAACGAGGGUUGCGCUCGUUGCGGGACUUAACCCAACAUCUCACGACACGAGCUGACGACAACCAUGCACCACCUGUAUACCGCCCUUGCGGACCCCAUAUCUCUAUGAGUUUUCGGUAUAUGUCAAGCCUUGGUAAGGUUCUUCGCGUUGCGUCGAAUUAAGCCACAUGCUCCGCCGCCUGUGCGGGCCCCCGUCAAUUCCUUUGAGUUUUAAUCUUGCGACCGUACUCCCCAGGCGGGAUGCUUAAUGCGUUAGCUGCGCCACUGAACAGCAAGCUGCCCAACGGCUAGCAUCCAUCGUUUACGGCGUGGACUAC